rnacentral:rRNA from 14 species
GACAGCUAGGAUGUUGGCUUGGAAGCAGCCAUUCAUUUAAAGAGUGCGUAACAGCUCACUAGUCGAGCGAUCGGGCGUGGAUAAUAAUCGGGCAUUAAGCAUACUGCCGAAGCAAUAGCAUCGAAAGAUGGGUAGGGGAGCAUUCUAGUUGCGCUGAAGGUGAACUGUGAGGUUUGCUGGAGCGGCUAGAAAAGAAAAUGUAGGAAUAAGUAACGAUAAAGCAGGCGAGAAACCUGCUCACCGAUAGACUAAGGUUUCCUGAACAACGCUAAUCGGUUCAGGGUUAGUCGGGACCUAAGGCGAACCCGAAUGGGGUAGUCGAUGGAAAACGGGUUAAUAUUCCCGUACUUGUGUAUACUGCGAUGGGGUGACGGAGUAGUGAAAGUCCUGCGUACUGACGGAAUAGUACGUUGAAGCCAGUAGAUAUAGGCACUGUAGGUAAAUCCGCAGAGCUUGUCGAAGGUGAUAGUACUCGGAGUCUUCGGAUGAAGAGAUAUGGACCUAAUCAGACUUCCAAGAAAAACCUCUAAGCUUCAGGUAUACACGACUCGUACCGCAAACCGACACAGGUAGUCAAGGAGAGAAUCCUAAGGUGCUCGAGUGAUUCAUGGCUAAGGAACUAGGCAAAAUAGCCUCGUAACUUCGGGAGAAGAGGCGCCUCUGGCAACAGAGGCCGCAGUGAAAAGGCCCAGGCGACUGUUUAUCAAAAACACAGGACUCUGCUAAAUCGAAAGAUGAUGUAUAGGGUCUGACACCUGCCCGGUGCCGGAAGGUUAAGAGGAGAUGUUA